rnacentral:rRNA from 1 species
CCUACGGGUGGCAGCAGUGAGGAAUAUUGGUCAAUGGCCGGAAGGCUGAACCAGCCAAGCCGCGUGAAGGACGAAGGUGCCAAGCAUUGUAAACUUCUUUUGUCAAGGGACAAAAUCAGGCUCGAGAGCCUGACCGAGGGUACUUGAAGAAAAAGCAUCGGCAAACUCCGUGCCAGCAGCCGCGGUAAUACGGAGGUUGCGGGCGUUAUCCGGAGUUAUUGGGCUAAAAGGGUCCGUAGGCGGGCUGUUAAGUCAGCGGGAAAAGCCCGGGGAUAAACCCCGGCGAGCCGUUGAAACUGGCUGUCUGGAGAUGUCGAGAGGUAUGCGGAAUGCGCAGUGUAGCGGUGAAAUGCUUAGAUAUUGCGCAGAACUCCGAUUGCGAAGGCAGCAUACCGGCGGCGAUCUGACGCUGAGGCACGAAAGCGUGGGUAUCGAACAGGAUUAGAUACCCCAGUAGUC